UGUGCGACACGUGAAUGAAGGCUGUAGACC
rnacentral:piRNA from 1 species